AUACGUAGAGGGCGAGCGUUGUCCGGAAUCAUUGGGCGUAAAGAGUACGUAGGCGGAUUAACAAGUCAAAUGUGAAAGGUAUCGGCUCAACCGAUAGAUUGCGUUUGAAACUGUUAAUCUUGAGUAUGACAGAGGAGAGCGGAAUUCCUGGUGUAGCGGUGAAAUGCGUAGAUAUCAGGAAGAACACCAGUGGCGAAGGCGGCUCUCUGGGUCAAGACUGACGCUGAGGUACGAAAGCUGGGGGAGCGAACGGGAUUAGAUACCCCGGUAGUCCCAGCCGUAAACGAUGGACACUAGGUGUUGGAGGUUCGAUUCCUUCAGUGCCGGAGUUAACGCAUUAAGUGUCCCGCCUGGGGAUUACGGUCGCAAGACUGAA
rnacentral:rRNA from 1 species